GGUUAAGCGACUAAGCGUACACGGUGGAUGCCCUGGCAGUCAGAGGCGAUGAAGGACGUGCUAAUCUGCGAUAAGCGUCGGUAAGGUGAUAUGAACCGUUAUAACCGGCGAUUUCCGAAUGGGGAAACCCAGUGUGAUUCGUCACACUAUCAUUAACUGAAUCCAUAGGUUAAUGAGGCGAACCGGGGGAACUGAAACAUCUAAGUACCCCGAGGAAAAGAAAUCAACCGAGAUUCCCCCAGUAGCGGCGAGCGAACGGGGAGCAGCCCAGAGCCUGAAUCAGUGUGUGUGUUAGUGGAAGCGUCUGGAAAGGCGCGCGAUACAGGGUGACAGCCCCGUACACAAAAAUGCACAUGCUGUGAGCUCGAUGAGUAGGGCGGGACACGUGGUAUCCUGUCUGAAUAUGGGGGGACCAUCCUCCAAGGCUAAAUACUCCUGACUGACCGAUAGUGAACCAGUACCGUGAGGGAAAGGCGAAAAGAACCCCGGCGAGGGGAGUGAAAAAGAACCUGAAACCGUGUACGUACAAGCAGUGGGAGCACAGAGCAAUCUGUGUGACUGCGUACCUUUUGUAUAAUGGGUCAGCGACUUAUAUUCUGUAGCAAGGUUAACCGAAUAGGGGAGCCGAAGGGAAACCGAGUCUUAACUGGGCGUUAAGUUGCAGGGUAUAGACCCGAAACCCGGUGAUCUAGCCAUGGGCAGGUUGAAGGUUGGGUAACACUAACUGGAGGACCGAACCGACUAAUGUUGAAAAAUUAGCGGAUGACUUGUGGCUGGGGGUGAAAGGCCAAUCAAACCGGGAGAUAGCUGGUUCUCCCCGAAAGCUAUUUAGGUAGCGCCUCGUGAAUUCAUCUCCGGGGGUAGAGCACUGUUUCGGCAAGGGGGUCAUCCCGACUUACCAACCCGAUGCAAACUGCGAAUACCGGAGAAUGUUAUCACGGGAGACACACGGCGGGUGCUAACGUCCGUCGUGAAGAGGGAAACAACCCAGACCGCCAGCUAAGGUCCCAAAGUCAUGGUUAAGUGGGAAACGAUGUGGGAAGGCCCAGACAGCCAGGAUGUUGGCUUAGAAGCAGCCAUCAUUUAAAGAAAGCGUAAUAGCUCACUGGUCGAGUCGGCCUGCGCGGAAGAUGUAACGGGGCUAAACCAUGCACCGAAGCUGCGGCAGCGACGCUUAUGCGUUGUUGGGUAGGGGAGCGUUCUGUAAGCCUGUGAAGGUGUACUGUGAGGUAUGCUGGAGGUAUCAGAAGUGCGAAUGCUGACAUAAGUAACGAUAAAGCGGGUGAAAAGCCCGCUCGCCGGAAGACCAAGGGUUCCUGUCCAACGUUAAUCGGGGCAGGGUGAGUCGACCCCUAAGGCGAGGCCGAAAGGCGUAGUCGAUGGGAAACAGGUUAAUAUUCCUGUACUUGGUGUUACUGCGAAGGGGGGACGGAGAAGGCUAUGUUGGCCGGGCGACGGUUGUCCCGGUUUAAGCGUGUAGGCUGGUUUUCCAGGCAAAUCCGGAAAAUCAAGGCUGAGGCGUGAUGACGAGGCACUACGGUGCUGAAGCAACAAAUGCCCUGCUUCCAGGAAAAGCCUCUAAGCAUCAGGUAACAUCAAAUCGUACCCCAAACCGACACAGGUGGUCAGGUAGAGAAUACCAAGGCGCUUGAGAGAACUCGGGUGAAGGAACUAGGCAAAAUGGUGCCGUAACUUCGGGAGAAGGCACGCUGAUAUGUAGGUGAAGUCCCUCGCGGAUGGAGCUGAAAUCAGUCGAAGAUACCAGCUGGCUGCAACUGUUUAUUAAAAACACAGCACUGUGCAAACACGAAAGUGGACGUAUACGGUGUGACGCCUGCCCGGUGCCGGAAGGUUAAUUGAUGGGGUUAGCGCAAGCGAAGCUCUUGAUCGAAGCCCCGGUAAACGGCGGCCGUAACUAUAACGGUCCUAAGGUAGCGAAAUUCCUUGUCGGGUAAGUUCCGACCUGCACGAAUGGCGUAAUGAUGGCCAGGCUGUCUCCACCCGAGACUCAGUGAAAUUGAACUCGCUGUGAAGAUGCAGUGUACCCGCGGCAAGACGGAAAGACCCCGUGAACCUUUACUAUAGCUUGACACUGAACAUUGAGCCUUGAUGUGUAGGAUAGGUGGGAGGCUUUGAAGUGUGGACGCCAGUCUGCAUGGAGCCGACCUUGAAAUACCACCCUUUAAUGUUUGAUGUUCUAACGUUGACCCGUGAUCCGGGUUGCGGACAGUGUCUGGUGGGUAGUUUGACUGGGGCGGUCUCCUCCUAAAGAGUAACGGAGGAGCACGAAGGUUGGCUAAUCCUGGUCGGACAUCAGGAGGUUAGUGCAAUGGCAUAAGCCAGCUUGACUGCGAGCGUGACGGCGCGAGCAGGUGCGAAAGCAGGUCAUAGUGAUCCGGUGGUUCUGAAUGGAAGGGCCAUCGCUCAACGGAUAAAAGGUACUCCGGGGAUAACAGGCUGAUACCGCCCAAGAGUUCAUAUCGACGGCGGUGUUUGGCACCUCGAUGUCGGCUCAUCACAUCCUGGGGCUGAAGUAGGUCCCAAGGGUAUGGCUGUUCGCCAUUUAAAGUGGUACGCGAGCUGGGUUUAGAACGUCGUGAGACAGUUCGGUCCCUAUCUGCCGUGGGCGCUGGAGAACUGAGGGGGGCUGCUCCUAGUACGAGAGGACCGGAGUGGACGCAUCACUGGUGUUCGGGUUGUCAUGCCAAUGGCACUGCCCGGUAGCUAAAUGCGGAAGAGAUAAGUGCUGAAAGCAUCUAAGCACGAAACUUGCCCCGAGAUGAGUUCUCCCUGACUCCUUGAGAGUCCUGAAGGAACGUUGAAGACGACGACGUUGAUAGGCCGGGUGUGUAAGCGCAGCGAUGCGUUGAGCUAACCGGUACUAAUGAACCGUGAGGCUUAACCUU
rnacentral:rRNA from 1 species